UAUUGCACAAUGGGGGAAACCCUGAUGCAGCGACGCCGCGUGAGUGAAGAAGUAUUUCGGGAUGUAAAGCUCUAUCAGCAGGGAAGAUAAUGACGGUACCUGACUCAGAAGCCCCGGCUAACUACGUGCCAGCAGCCGCGGUAAUACGUAGGGGGCAAGCGUUACCCGGAUUUACUGGGUGUAAAGGGAGCGUAGACGGCCAGACAAGUCAGAAGUGAAAGCCCAGGGCUCAACCCUGGGACUGCUUUUGAAACUGCCGGGCUGGAGUGCAGGAGAGGUAAGCGGAAUUCCUAGUGUAGCGGUGAAAUGCGUAGAUAUUAGGAGGAACACCAGUGGCGAAGGCGGCUUACUGGACUGUAACUGACGUUGAGGCUCGAAAGCGUGGGGAGCAAACAGGA
rnacentral:rRNA from 1 species